UACGGAGGGGGCGAGCGUUGUCCGGAAUUAUUGGGCGUAAAGGGCGCGCAGGCGGGCUGAUCAGUCAGUGGCGAAAGUUCACGGCUUAACCGUGAAAUUGCCUUUGAUACUGUCAGUCUUGAGUUCGGAAGAGGAAAGUGGAAUUCCUGGUGUAGCGGUGAAAUGCGUAGAUAUCAGGAAGAACACCGGUGGCGAAGGCGGCUUUCUGGUCCGAAACUGACGCUGAGGCGCGAAAGUGUGGGUAGCGAACAGGAUUAGAUACCCUGGUAGUCCACACAGUAAACGAUGGAUACUAGGUGUUGGGUGGUAACGUUCAGCGCCGGAGCAAACGCAUUAAGUAUCCCGCCUGGGGAAUACGAUCGCAAGAUUGAA
rnacentral:rRNA from 1 species